rnacentral:misc_RNA from 1 species
GAUUAAAAUCAAAUAGCAUUUGUUUCCAUGCAUCAAUCCUUGGUGAUGUUGCAAUGCUGCUAUCUGGUUUUCAGCAAGCUCUAAAACGACACAUUCUUGAGAAAAAGGUUGAUGCUAAUGCUUCAACUGUUCUGAAUAACACCACUGAAUAUCAUCCUGUGUCAGGCAUUGAUAAAAAAGAAAAUAAAACUGAAGUUGCAAUUCCCGCCAUAGAGCACAAUAUGGAGUCAACUGGUAAUUUUAAUAAGGAAACACAUAGAUUGACUACAGAAAUUUCAAGCCUGAUGCAGAAAACACAUCAUGCAGAUUGCAUAGUAAAUCUCAAAUCAAGGUGUAAUGGAUCUAUAGACCUAUGCAAGCCAGCCUGUGGACGUCAUGAAGUUGCUGAUGCUGAAUUGGCUGGAAAUCUCAAUUGCACGGUUACAAGUUCUUUUAAGAUUCAUGAAAUGGGGAAAGUAAUUUCUGCAGCUGAUCAACACAAUGAGUUAACAGCUAGUGGAAUAUCAGGAGAAGCGGGUAAUAUUGAGAAGGCAUGUAAUGCUGACAAACGUCAAGCAAGUGGAUACCCUUCCCUGGAAUUGGAUGAGUGUAAUUAUGCUUCAUCUGAGAGUGCUG